UACAGAGGGUGCGAGCGUUAAUCGGAGUAACUGGGCGUAAAGGGCACGUAGGCGGUGAGAUUAGUCUGAUGUGAAAGACCUGGGCUUAACCUGGGAUGUGCAUUGGAAACGGUCUCGCUAGAGUAUGGGAGAGGGAAGUGGAAUUUCCGGUGUAGCGGUGAAAUGCGUAGAGAUCGGAAAGAACACUCGUGGCGAAGGCGGCUUUCUGGCCCAAAACUGACGCUGAGGUGCGAAAGCGUGGGGAGCAAACAGG
rnacentral:rRNA from 1 species